UAAGCCGUUGAAGGUGGCCUGUGAGGGUUGCUGGAGGUAUCAGAAGUGCGAAUGCUGACAUAAGUAACGAUAAAGCGGGUGAAAAGCCCGCUCGCCGGAAGACCAAGGGUUCCUGUCCAACGUUAAUCGGGGCAGGGUGAGUCGACCCCUAAGGCGAGGCCGAAAGGCGUAGUCGAUGGGAAACGGGUUAAUAUUCCCGUACUUGGUGUUACUGCGAAGGGGGGACGGAGAAGGCUAUGUUGGCCGGGCGACGGUUGUCCCGGUUUAAGCGUGUAGGUGUGUGUUCCAGGUAAAUCCGGUUCACUUUAACACUGAGGCGUGAUGACGAGGCACCACGGUGCUGAAGCAACAAAUGCCCUGCUUCCAGGAAAAGCCUCUAAGCAUCAGGUAACAUCAAAUCGUACCCCAAACCGACACAGGUGGUCAGGUAGAGAAUACCAAGGCGCUUGAGAGAACUCGGGUGAAGGAACUAGGCAAAAUGGUGCCGUAACUUCGGGAGAAGGCACGCUGACACGUAGGUGAAGUGGUUUACCCAUGGAGCUGAAGUCAGUCGAAGAUACCAGCUGGCUGCAACUGUUUAUUAAAAACACAGCACUGUGCAAACACGAAAGUGGACGUAUACGGUGUGACGCCUGCCCGGUGCCGGAAGGUUAAUUGAUGGGGUCAGCGCAAGCGAAGCUCCUGAUCGAAGCCCCGGUAAACGGCGGCCGUAACUAUAACGGUCCUAAGGUAGCGAAAUUCCUUGUCGGGUAAGUUCCGACCUGCACGAAUGGCGUAAUGAUGGCCAGGCUGUCUCCACCCGGGACUCAGUGAAAUUGAACUCGCUGUGAAGAUGCAGUGUACCCGCGGCAAGACGGAAAGACCCCGUGAACCUUUACUAUAGCUUGACACUGAACACUGGUCCUUGAUGUGCAGGAUAGGUGGGAGGCUUUGAAGUGUGGACGCCAGUCUGCAUGGAGCCGACCUUGAAAUACCACCCUUUAAUGGCUGGUGUUCUAACGUGGGCCCCUGACCGGGGUUGCGGACAGUGUCUGGUGGGUAGUUUGACUGGGGCGGUCUCCUCCUAAAGAGUAACGGAGGAGCACGAAGGUUGGCUAAUCCUGGUCGGACAUCAGGAGGUUAGUGCAAUGGCAUAAGCCAGCUUGACUGCGAGCGUGACGGCGCGAGCAGGUGCGAAAGCAGGUCAUAGUGAUCCGGUGGUUCUGAAUGGAAGGGCCAUCGCUCAACGGAUAAAAGGUACUCCGGGGAUAACAGGCUGAUACCGCCCAAGAGUUCAUAUCGACGGCGGUGUUUGGCACCUCGAUGUCGGCUCAUCACAUCCUGGGGCUGAAGUAGGUCCCAAGGGUAUGGCUGUUCGCCAUUUAAAGUGGUACGCGAGCUGGGUUUAGAACGUCGUGAGACAGUUCGGUCCCUAUCUGCCGUGGGCGCUGGAAGAUUGAGGGGGGCUGCUCCUAGUACGAGAGGACCGGAGUGGACGCAUCACUGGUGUUCGGGUUGUCAUGCCAAUGGCACUGCCCGGUAGCUACAUGCGGAAGAGAUAAGUGCUGAAAGCAUCUAAGCACGAAACUUGCCCCGAGAUGAAUCUUCCCUGAGCCUUUAAGGCUCCUGAAGGAACGUUGAAGACGACGACGUUGAUAGGCCGGGUGUGUAAGCGCAGCGAUGCGUUGAGCUAACCGGUACUAAUGAACCGUGAGGCUUAACCUUACAACGCCGAA
rnacentral:rRNA from 1 species